UUUAACCAUUUUAACCUUUUUCUAAAAUGUAACUAAUUUUUGCUUAUGGUAUGGUUUGUAUAAGGUUGCAACCUUAAUUUUGGUUUUAAAAAUUUUUUAAAAUUAUUUAAAAAUCUAUUUUCAUAUCUAAUCUUAAAAUUUUAAACUCUAUAAAUAGUUAAAAUCAAGUAAAUCUAGAAACAUACGAAAAUACUAUUUCUGAGACUUAAUUUUUUUUUUGGUAGUUCAUUUAUUUAUUUCCUGACAUUUUCAUUGUAGUUAACGUGGUCAGGUGAUCGUUACUUGGUUAUCAAGGAUUAGGGUUUGUGAAAAUGCCAAUUUCUUUUCUGUUCGCUGUGUCAUCGGCUGAUAGAGCUCGCAUACCUUCUUUUGCUUCACUGUAAGUUGCUGAUACGAAUUGAGAUGUUAAACCUUAUAAUGUCUAAAUUUACCUGUAAAUAGUAAGAUUUCUUUGCACAUUCAUCAUGUUCUUCUUUUUUUUGCACAUUAUGCUCAUUUUUUGGGUUCGAUUAUUAUGUAAUUUUUUACUUUUAACGGCUAGUUUAAUGGUAGAAAAGUACUAGGGCCUUUUACAUUUGCAUCAUUUCUGUCUGAUUUCAAGCAGAAGUUAGUAAAAUUAAGGUAUACCAGUAUGAAUGUUUAUGCCAUGAUUUGUAUUGCCUUCACACAAAAUUCGCCCCCAACUUCGAUUUUUUUUUUUUUUUCAUUACUUAAUGGUUUGUCUACCGCGUAAACCAUAUCAAUCAUAUAUGUUCACCUAUAACUGAAAGUAUGGUUCUAUGCGGAAAACUCAUUCUUUUAUUAUUGCCCAUUGUUGGAUUUGACAGGGACAAGAAUUAGCUUGCCUUUUCAUGAGGAUUCGAAGAAGAUCUUCACUUUUUGUUUCAUACUUAAUAACAAUGAGUUUUAUAGAUGUUGUGGUG
rnacentral:lncRNA from 1 species